rnacentral:lncRNA from 1 species
GAUCCCAGCUUCAUGCCAAGCACCGUAGAGGGCAUAGGGGAGGUCUUCUUCCCCAGCUCCGGCCACCCGACCUGCCUUGGGUACGGGCUAAGUUCGCCCAAGGUGGUCGAUUCCCUCUGCUCUAGCCUCACCCGUACUCCCCUAGUAAUCCAUCCUCUCUUAUCUGCGCGUCAAUUUGACCUCUGCAGGUCAUUGUGGUGAGAUCCAUCCUCCCUCGAAGCCGAUGAUCGCCGAGAGGAAGCCGCCGAUGCUGUGGUGCUCGUCGGUGAGCCAAUCCACCACUCAUCGACGCGGAAUAGUCCCCUCAACAAUCCUGUGCACCAUCACGAGCUCUGUGUUGCCGGUGAUAAUUUCAAACCUGUCAUGGGUGGCCCACCCGUUAGGUUCUUUUCUUUUCCGGACUUUUUUUUGAAGGCACCUUUCACCGGAGUGCGUUUUCUUCUCGGGCUGGCGUAGUUUCCUUAGAACAUUUUUUGUUUUCUCAAUCUAGCCCAUGGGUAACUUUCUGUUUACAAUAGAUAAGUCUCUAGUUGCAUUUCCUUUAUAAUUUUUAAACUAAAAAUAGUUUUUUGGUUGAUUUUUUUUGAAAGCUUUAUUUUUUUGUCUAGUUUUUUUGUGAUAUUUAUUUAAAAUAUUUUGGUACAACUUUUAUACAUGCACAGUAUUUACGUAGAUAUCGAUAUUUUUUGACGUAGAUACCAAGGGAGAAGACGCCGUCGUCCACUUCACCGAGUCCACUUCAACUUCGUUGAUCCAGGCAAGCAUGUUUGAACCUUUGAUAUGGUGUUUGUUUUCAUGUUUGCUCGAUAAAAAAUACUGCAUGUAGACAUGGUAGCAUGACGUGUUGAUAUGAUUUCAUGCAUAGAUUAUCUUAAAAUUGUGUAGUGACGGAAAUAUUUUGACGACCUAGUCACACGGGACGUGAUAGGUUGUGGUCUGCUCAUGUUGGAGCAUGCUAGUACCUUAUCAAAUCUAACAACUCCACUAUCGGCAUAAAUCGUGUCUUGUCAGUCUGUCACCUUACUUUUCCGUGCUGCCACAUGCUAUAUCGGAAGGGAUACCGUUUAGUAGGUUGCAAACCUAUUUCCAUGUAAACACCAAGUAGAGGGGCCGAAUGAAGGUUCCAUUGCCCUGGAAUAAUGCGAGUCAUCCAGUCAUGGGGCAUGGGUGUUUUCGACUGAGCCCUAGAGGGGGGAUCCCUUAGUUACGCACGAUAUAAGUUGAUCCCAUGCUAUUCGAGGUGUCGACCUCUCCAUCUUAUAGUUUUUCUUGAGCGUGGUUUCGGGUGAUUCCGGGCCUCGCAGGGUGAAAUGGGUGUGUACUAGUUACAUGUGUUUACUUUCAAAAUACUGUAGGUGGGACUAGUCUAUGUGACUAUCGAAACCCGUUGGCUGUGACUAAAGAGUACACCCUCUAUAUAGUCAAAAUUAUUUGAGUAGCCGUCUCCGCGGUCAAGGACCACUGGUUGACAGGUCAACUGUCGGUCUUCGUGUUGGUCUCUAGAAAGCAAAUAAUGUUUUAUGAGAACAUUUACCUAUGACAUUAUGAAUGUGAUGCUUGUGGCUAAUCUGUUAUAAUGAAUGAUGCAUUGAGUACUCCGUGCACUAUUAGGAAAAGGAUUGCUAAUGGCGCACCUAUUUUGGCUACUAAUGGCGCACUAUAGGUGCGCCACUAGCAUCAUGCCAUUAGAUUUUUUUACUAAUGGCGCACCACAAGUGCGCCAUUAGUAUCUGGUAUACUAAUGGUGCACCAGGCAGUGCGCCAUUAGUAUUGCUCACGGUGCGCCAUUAGUAUCUGGUAUACUAAUGGCACACCAAGUAGUGCGCCAUUAGUAUAGAUCCCGGUGCGCCAUUAGUAUAGAUCCUGGUGCGCCAUUAGUAUAGAUCCUGGUGCGCCAUUAGUAUAGCUUAUGGUGCGCCAUUAGUAUGCCUCCCAGGGCCAUAUUUACCCAUAUGCUCUGGCUUACUAAUGGCGCACUAGUUGACGAUGCGCCACUAGUGUGCUUUUGAAGUGCGCCACUAGUGUGCUGAGUGAUGCGCCACUAGUAUGAAUAUUAGGUUUUUUUUUUGAUAUUUGCACAGAUUACAAAAUAUAUUAUUGCACAGAAUAUAGAUAGCACAACAUAUAAACAACAAAUUUAUCGAAUACAAUAGAAGAUUAGUCUCCCAAUACAAUUCAUCAUAUUAGUCUCCGAAUUUAAAAUACCGAACAAAGUUAGAACAUUACAAGUCUCGAGACCGCGAGUAGCGAGUUUGUCUUCACAUUACAAGUCGAUAUCGACCAUCUAAACUACCAUCACAUAGAAGAGAGCUGCGGUCAUCACGAUGAGCAUAAUUGCAAUGAAACUGGCCUUCAUCCGGUUCCUCCAACGCUCCCUCCUCUCUCCCGCUAGAUAGCGCGCGUAUCUAACUUCCACCUCCGCCCUUGUGGUGUACCCUUUGUAACUGUUACCGCUGAAUCGAUGAACCUGUCUCCGACACUCCUCCUAGUCGUCGUAGACUCCGGGAACCUUACCCUUGUACACGACAUACGACGGCAUCUCUAUGCACUAGCCAAACAAAACGUUAGUAGCAAUUCACACAGACAUACAAGUUCAUUAAAGUUUAAUAUUACAACUAUAACAACACGAUUCAUGGUCCUACUAAUAAAUAGCAUCGAUUAUAUAUAAGUUGAACGACUGUCCAAACCAAAGAGACAUACAAGUUCAUUAAAGUUUAAUAUUGCAACAUGAAUUAGUAGCGAUUCACGGGAACGUGGAUGAAGCCGCCGUCUUUCGUGAUGGUCAUGAAAUUGCGGUCGUUGUCAGCCUGCAUUUGUAGCAUUGUAUCUAUCUCACUAUUGGACAGCGGAGAUCUGAGGUAGAACUGCCCCGAGGUACGAAGGACAUCUUGAUGGAUGAUUUCCGCAAACUCCGACUGGAUGCGAAAGAAUUCUUGUCUGAUGUCCGCAUCCUGGAUUGCCGACUAGCGUGCGGCCCAAUCUUUGAGAUUAUUUGGUAGCCGAAGGUGAUUACUGCCCCGUAUGAUCGCCCGCAUGUGAUGGAGGGCGUAGUAGGCAUCCUUCUGACUGCCAGGCGGCUGCUUGACGCAGGCGAACGUCGUAUUGUGGGUGAACACGUGCUUGCCGUGCCUGAGACUUGUCCUGCUGAAGGUGCCUCCAGAUAUGGCGUAGCCGGGAAGAGCUCCAUCAAGAACUUUCUUGAUAUUUGUGUAGUCUUUUUUUGACUGACAGUCCGAGUUGAAAUACGUGGCCGUGGAAUAUUUCAGGCUUAAGAGGAUGAGUGUGCAACGUGUGUCACUGCACAAAACACGGAAUGUUAGAAAAACAAGGACGAUCAAAAUCUAAGAAAUCAUAUGUUACGGGGCGAUGAGGGGAUAACUUACGAGGGAAAGUAAGGCACAAGGAAGUUAUCCUUUUCUGAGUUUGCCAGAAUGACGCCUUCGAGGUAUGAACUCGCGACUUGCCGGUCCCCAGCGCUGCCCAAGAUCUUGGCACGCAUAUAGAAGGGGUCGACUAUCACUAGGUCCGGGGUCUUAUCUCUAAUGAUCCGCAUCUCCAUACUCAGCGAAAAUAGCCGAACGAAGGUGUAGUGCAGCGGAUGAAGGUUAAACAUAGCGAAGAUGUCAGCAAACCGCAGGACGAUCAUACCCCCGAUGGCGCUAUCGACAAAGCCCUUGCCCUCUGGCACCUUGGCCACGAAAACCGGGUAUGCCACAUUAUUCUCGGAGAGACGUCGCUUCUCCAAACAAAGAAUACUGUCAUGCAGACUCCGCAUAGCACCGGUUGCAACAUUGAGCAGAUUAGUCGGUAGCAUCGGCCUACCCGCCACAUGCACCCUCCUCGAGAUAUCCUUAGGUGAAGGUGGCCCGUCCAGAGCACGGAUCGUACUCAGUGCCGGCUGGCUCGCACUCUUGUUAGUCUUUCUUUUCCGUCACUUCUUCUGCUGAUGUAAUGGGAUCGAGUUCAUCUGCUCAGAGACCACCUUCUUGAGUGUGUUGGGGCUGAUAAUAUUUCGCACCUCGGCUAUCUGAGGCUCGGUGAAGGCGGCAGCUGGAGGCGUCUCCUCAAAACUAAACUCCAGACAACGCCUGUUGCAAUUGGGUUUCUCCGCGGUACCAGCUAGAUCGUGGUCGUCUUUUGCAGGGUUGGGUUCUUGAGAAGGAGGCCCCAAGAAUUCCUCACCGUACCCAUGUUCGGCAAAGUACUUAUCGACCUUGGUAAAUGUACCAUCGUCGUCAUCGUCGUCUUCCGAAUCCUGUGUCAUAUGCAUGUCCGGAUCCUGUGCCAUAUGCAUGUCCGGUAGCAUUGCGGCGGUCUUGCCAUGGCUUGGCGCCGGCACGACUGGCGAUGUUGUCUGUGGGGUGGUGUCCCCCGCCCCCAAACGAAUCUGGAUCUUCGGCCAAAGCAAGGGCCAGCUUAAGCAGGUGCUGAGGGUCAUCACAUCAUCUUUGUCGGCCCCAGCGGGGUGGAACGGAGGUAACAAGUCGUCGCAGCCUGGUAGCACCCGAACCAGUUGAACCCUAUACGUGGUGGGUGGCAUCGGUUUACCGUGGAACAUGGGGUUGCCUGAUUGAACGAUUCUGCCCUUGGCAACAUCGAUCAACUCGCCGCCCAUGAAGUGCAGGAGAGUGCAUGGAACGUCGGCGCCGGCGCCCUGCGAAAACAUGUAGGGCGUCAGGGGAUGCCUAGUCAAAGGCAAGGAGAUGAAGUCAUCGACCGAGAGAGGCUUAGUUACCGUGAUGGCGUCGAGCUCGGCUAAUGUCGAGGCACCGCCAACGGCGGGCGUGCAAAUGACGGAGGGGCCGCUUGCUGCCGAGGUGCCGGUCGGCGCCGAAGACACCAACGGCGCCGGCGCCGGAGACACCAAUGGCGUCGUCUGUGCGUUGUGCGAGUUGCUGGCCGUGAAGCUGGGAAUCGGGGGCGGCCCCUGUUGGCCGCCCGCAAUCCACGCCUGCAACCCCUCAAUCAAGGUAGGCACAAUGGCGGUGAUCACCCCUCCCACUUGGUGUUGCACUAGCUCUUGGACCAUCUCCGGAAUCCGCGCCACUUUUUCCUUGAGUUCUUCAACCUCGGGCAAUUCGCUUUCCAAGUUGGUAUUUCUCUCCUUUCACCCACCAGCGUUACAGUAUGACGACCAUUUCGUGGACAAGCCUUUGCCGGCCACACGACCAGAUGACGACGGCUUACUGGACUUAUCCUUGUUUUUCAUUAUGUUAAACGCCCUAUUUAAAUUGGUGUCCCAAUGGGAGCUCUGAGACGACCCCGCGCUACUGCUUUCAGUGUCCUGCGGAAGGAAUGAACCAUUUAGAAAUUUGGCUUCAUUAAUUAGAAUGCAACCAUAUGGAGCUAAUUACGUGGGGUGUAUUCCUUACCAGAACACGCUCAAGCGCCCUGGUCUUCGCAUCCGUGGUGAGAUCCUUUGUUACUGGGUCCACCUUGUACCGGGCCCUGACAUAGUUCCUGUUCUGCUUGUCACCGUAUUUCUCGAAGCGGGGUGGUAGGCCUUGCUCGGCACGCUCCGCGUCCUCCUUGUCCCAUAUAGGUUCCGCCACUCUGUAACCGCCGGGACCGAGUUGGUGGACCCCUAAGUUCAACUCCUGCAUUUCUUUCCCCCAUUGACUUGAUUCCGCGGUUGCCUUGCUCUCGCACUUGAUCUUGAACUCCUUGUAGUCAUCUUCGCUGAUCGAAGGAUUUUUCGCCUUGAUCUUCUCAUAACUAUCACCUUUGUCAAUCAUUCUCUUCACUACGCUUCUCCAAGUAGACAGGGCCUUGCUCAUCUUCGUGAGGGCGGCACUGUUCACUUUAUUCCUUGAGAGGCGUGUGUUUGCGACGUCACCGGGGAACUUGUAUCGUUCGUGCAGCUUCGUGAAGAGGAGGUUGCGCAAAUUCCCUCGGUCCUUAUGCCUUAGGUUCUCGGUGUUGAUCGAGACAGUGCUCCGGAGAACACACCCGAGCUGAACCGCGUACCCCUUGACUAUUUCUUUGGGCGCCGUUGGAUACCCGUCGGAGUUCACUUCAGUAAAUACCUCCUUUACGGUGCUAAGCACGUUCGGGCGCCGGUCCUUCCGUUGCCUCUUCGAUUGGCUGCCAUCUAUGCGUGCGCUGCCAUCAUCAGUGGUGGCAUCCUCGGCGGCACCAUCAGUGGUGUCAUCCCCGACGCCACUAGGGGUUGUGUACUCGGGAUCGGUGUCUUUCGCGGCAUCCUCAUAGCGGUGAGGUUCUUCCUCCAUCUCCUGGGACAGCUCCCAGAAAGGCUUGGCUGAACCGCCGGCCUCAUCGUUGUGGGCCAUGUUUCGCUCUAAAUAGGAAAAACGUUUGGUCAAAUAGUUGGUUAUUGUCAAGGAACAAGAUCAUGGUCUCAUCAUUUAGGGUUUGUCGACAUCGAGGCAUCCUAAAAGCUAAGCUUUUAUCAUUUAGGGUUUGUCGACGCCGAGGCACCCUAAAAGCCUAAGCUUUCAUCAUUUAGGUUUUUAUCGACACCGAGGCACCCUAAAAGCCAAGGUUUUAUAAUUUAGGGUUUGUCGACACUGAGGCACCCUAAAUGCUAAGUUAAGUUUUCAUCAUUUAGGGUUUAUCAAUGCCGAGGCACCCUAGGUUGACUGAUAUAUAUGGGUAUCUUCUAAUAAUAUACCCUAUCAAGAAAAGGGAAGGAGAAUUCUAAGUUGGGCCUAAUCACUUGGCUCUAUUGCCACCUAUGGUUUAAUGCAGCAAGCAUAAAGGGGUAGUUGAUCCUACUUAAUUAAGUACUAAGAUACCCCGGCCCAUGCAUUAGUCGCAAGUACCCCAUAUGUCCUAUUUUUAGCAAAGUCAUGCUAAAAUUCACGGAAAAUUUCAGCAUGAUCUUUGCUGAAAAUAGGACAUAUGGAGUACCCGAAUUUGCCGGAACGGAAGUUAAUCGACAUUCCGGCAAACUCAAGGGCCUCUCGGGGUACGUGCAAAAUCAUCACGACACGAUGGUCGGGAACAAAACCCAGCAAACUAGCACCACAAUGCUAACAUCUGGAUGCACUACAACUUAGCAAAAGAGUAAAAUAGAGAUUGACACAACCAUAAGGCAGAUCAUGGAUCAAGAACAAUCAAAGGAUUCAGCAUGAGACCAUGGACUGAUCACUGAUGCAGCAAAAAACAAGAACCUACAACAGCAGGCCCAACACUAAGGGGACCAUAUCUGUUCAACAAUUCUUGAUGAACCAUCGGGGGACAGAAAUGGAAUUCGAAUGAAAUUCAUAGGAAACAUAUUGACCGAGAGUACCCAGUCGUCCUAAAAAAAGAGAUCAAUCGCUUUAAAAAAAAUUCUACCGGCAUACAAGUAUACAUCGCUUUGUAGACAAAAACUAAAAUUCAGAUGGACAGAAAAGAUUGUAGACAAAAACAUUCGACGACACAUUCAUGUUGAUUUUUUUCUUAAGGUAAUUUUGAGAAAGUUAUGGCGCAAAACAAAUAGAUAUCCUUACAGCUCCAUCCGCACAUGCCACUGCCUUGAGAAGAGCAGCAAACAUAUAAAUAUGAAACAACGAAUUCAGGGAAGCAGCUGUGAUUGGUCGACCAAGUGUGACGUUAUGCAAACUGGAUGAUUGGUGCCCAGGUGGAAACGUAGUUCUUUUCUUGAUCGCGUUUCGUUUCUUCUCCAAGCGUCUACGACGUGUGGCCUAUGUGUAUUCUACCACCUUUUCUUAGUAGAGCCCUAGCAAGAUUAUUAUGUGUUUCUAGUACCAUCGGUAUGACGUGCAAUGGGACAAGGACGACAGCAUGUGCAGAGUCCAGAACUAGCAAACGAAACUCAUCAUAUUAAUUUGUUUAAGUGAAGUAGGGAAUAUCCAGUACAUUCAGCCAUGUUGAGUUCAAAGCAAACCAGUUCACAAAAGUUAGACUAAGAAUUACUCCCUCCGUUCCAAAACGUUAGCCCUGGUUUUAAUUCAAAACAUUUGUCAUGGUUUUUAAUUCAUUUUAUGUAGUUAGCUAGGCCAUUUUAGCUGAAACUAUGCCAGUAUGUACGCCUGGUUUGACGCCGAAAGUUAACAACAGAAGCAAUUUUUUAUGGCUUCACACAUACAUCGACAAUUCAAAUAUUGGCAGCCAAGCAUGCCUAUACAUAUGCCAUUUUGCACUAAAGUUAAAAAUCAGUAUUUAGUUGAAUACGUCUUCUUGGGAAAUUUGUCUUAUUUGUUCCUAUAUAUUUUCUAUUUUUUCUACGGGUCUCCUCAGCAAGAAAAUACGGUGCCAUAGAACACCCGUCUGGAGCUAAUCACUACCAUAUCAUGGAUUGCAUAUUUGUCACCGCAAUCGUGUAUUUUUCACAUCACACGUUUUUUGGAAUCAUACAUGCAUGUUCAUCCCCUACUACACGCAUGCAUCUCAUAUCGAUUCUUUUGAAGUACUCACUCUGUAAACUAAUAUAAGAUGUUUUAGAUCAGGUGGUACUAUUGAAUUAUGCUUGCAAUGUUCAUUUCUCUCUCUUAUUUUGUUGGUUAAACUUUGGGUGACUAAGGUUUGGCAUGGUUAAUCUCAAGCUAAUUAAGCAGGUUCUUACUACUACUCCAGCUAAGAGCUAAAGGAGGAUGAGCCCUUCAGACAAGGGCCUCCACUACGUUAGCAAACCCUAAUACUGUAAUACACAUCUGCUUAGAAAAACCAGGUCACAUUUAAUCUACACCUCAAUUCACAUGUAAUGUACUCUAGUAUAAAAUCGAAUAUGCUAUUAUAUUAUGUACGGAGCUAGUACCUGAUUAUGAGGUCAUGCAUGUAACAAUCUGUACACAUGAUUAUUUCCAGAAUUUUAUACACUUCCCAUGUUGUAAAACUAGCAAAUAAAUAGCCCAUAGGAGGGGAAAUUAAAACGUUUCUGUGCGUAAGCAUGAUAGAUCCUGAUCGAAUGGGAGGCGGAGGGUAGGCUCACCGGUGGUUAGGUUGCAGGCGUCGCUGGAGAAGUCAAGCGCAGUGACGCAGUCGGUGUGUCCCCUGAGGGUGUUGAGGUCGAGGUGGUGGUGCUUCUUGGCCGCCUCCUGGAAGAAAACACACAAUUCAGCUGAGACCACACUCACCGCACAUUCCAAUAUUUAUAUGGAACUAUGAAUGUCUACAUUUCAACAGAAAGUGUAGGAAUGGAUGAACUAUGAAGAUUAUGUUCUCCUAGGAUACACUCCGAAUCGAAUCUAUUGGACUGUAAUCGGAGACACCACUGACUGAUCCCUGUGUGUGAGAGCGAGAUCGGUAGUAGCUAGCAUGUGUGCGGAAUCAUGGAUCCCAUUCGAGUGUGCAGUAUGCGCGCGAGCGAGAUGGGGGUGGAGACAAGAUGAGAUGGGGGUGGACCUUGUCGGCGGCGGAGGCGUGGUGGUGCUGGGGCCGUCCCUUCUUGUUCUGCGUGGUGGGGCGGACCUGCUUGGGCAGGUCCGGGCAGCGGGGACGGCGGAGGGGGGCACGUGCGCGAUGUCGGCACGCUUGCGGCGCAGGUAGCCGACGAGGAAGACGAAGGCGAUGGCCCCGCCAAGCAGCACCGAGAGGAUCGGCUAUUUACUGGUGCUGCGCUGCAGGGGCGGAGGAAGGGGCGCCGUCGGUGGAGAGGACAAGGACGGCGUGGGUCUUGCAGGGGGACUUGAGGUGGCGGCCGAGGACGGUGAGGUCGGGGAGGUGGUGGCCCUCCGCGGCGGCAGAGCUAGGAUUCGGGGAGACGGCAGGCGCUGAUGGGCGGUGGAAAGGGGGUAGGGGGGAGGCUGCGGGAGAGGAGAGGAGGGCGCGAGGGUAGCCGACUUAGGAAUGGCGCACCCCGAGCGAUGCGCCAUUAGAAUGUUUUUUUUAUAUAGUAAUGGUGCAUGUAUAUGAGGUGCGCCUUCUCUACGUUGUUAACCUCCAAAGUAGUAGCGCAGUGGUGCGUGGGUUUUGCCUGCUAGCAGGAGGUGGCGGGUUCGUAUCCUCUUCCCCCCCUCCUUUUUUCCUUUUAUUUUUUUCUAUGCAUUGUUUUCUUGUGCUGGUUGCACCUUGGUUUGAGAAGUUGAUGCUGUGGUGUGCAUCACACCAUGAGGGUGAUUUAUCUUCCCUCACAACAACAUCUAGUGCCUAGUAUUUUUUUGAUGUUUGCAAGUAGAUGCCUACGAAUAGGAGUUGAAUCUUGUGAAUAGGUGUUCUAGUGGUAAGUAUGCCGACGGCGGCGGCGGUGGAGCGGGGGAGGGUGCGGGGGUGCUCAGCGACGAGCGGGAUCUUGCGAGGGGUGAUAGCGAUCGAGAUGGAGGGGAUCGAGAUCGAGUGUCCUCAUGAAUAUUCAAUAUUUUUUCAUAUUGAAUAUGAAAAAAUAUCAUCAAAUUUGAAAAUGUCGAAAUACAAUCGAGAAAUGAAGGCUACAAUUUAAAUACAAUCGAUCUUAGCUAGCUAUUUGUUCACAAUCUUCUUGCCCUUAUUUUUCGUAAAUGGAGUUAUUCUCUUGAACGGACGUCCUUUAGGUAGGGUGGUCCUGCUUCUUCUUGUGGUGUAUGCUGGUACUUCAUCAUCGUCGUCAUGUUCCAUCUUCGGGUUGCCGUACUUGUCGAAGUCUUGCUCAUUGGCGACUCCAUCCAUUCCGAUGAUCUUCCUUUUUCCUCUCCUCACGACAACACGACUGGGCUUUGGCGGGUCGGUAAUGAAGAAGCAUUGGUCCACUUGGGAAGCCAGUACCCAUGGCUCAUUUUUCGCGGUGACGUUUGCGCUCGCGGUCUUGGAUUUGGCUUUGGGUAUAACCAUGGUGGUGAAAUACCGGUCUUAUUUUAUGACGCUCUUGGCCCAUCUGACACGAAACAUCGGGACCUUUUCUCCAGCGUAGCUCAGCUCCCAGAUCUCCUCGAUCCUUCCGUAGUAUCUGUCCUUGUCGUUACCGGUGUAGGAUUCCAUCAUUACCCCGGAGUUCUGAUAACCGUCGCUCUUCAUGUCCUUUCCCUCGGUGUAGAAUGUGUAGCCGUUGAUAUCGUACGCCUCAUACGUCAUCAGGUUGUGCUCGGCGCCCUGUGACAAGGCGAAUAUGAGUUGUUCUUCCGCGGAAGAAUCCUUAUGUAAAGGGUACGACAGAAGCUUCUGCUUGAACCAACGCGUGAAACAUGAGUUGUGCUCUUUGAUUAUAUCUCCGUCCAUCCUCUGUUGGCCUCGGUCAUUGUACGUCUCCUCAAUAAAGGUUUUGUGCUCUACGACCCAAGGAUCGACCACGUCUAUGUGUUGUAGCGCGACUAGGUUUGCUCUUUCAAAGUCGGCGAGUCGACCCUCGAAGUCGACAUGCAUUUCGCGGCGACCCUCACGGUGACCCCAUCCUGCGAGCCUGCCGAGGUGCCUGUUGAUGGGCAGACCAAUGGGGUUCUCGAUGCCUAGAUAAUUCGUGCAGUAGGAGAUGCACUCUUCGGUCAGAAAGCCCCUGGCUAUGCUUCCCGCUGGACAUGACAUGUUGCGAACGUAUCCUUUGAUGACACCACUCAUCCUUUCGAACGGCAUCAUGCUGUGCAGGAACGUCGGCUCGAGUUGGAUGAUAUCCCCCACGAUAUGGACCAUCAGAUGCACCAUAACGUCGAAGAAUGCGGGCGGGAAGUACAUCUCAAGCUCGCAUAGUAUCACCACGAUCUCUUCUUGUAGCCUUCUAAGUUGCCUCACGCCAACCAACUUCCGAGAGAUGACGUCGAAAAAGUUGCAUAGGCCAAAUAGCGUUUCACGGACGUGCGCGUCCACGAUCCCACGGAUUGCAACUGGAAGUAUCUGCGUCAUGAGCACGUGACAGUCGUGAGACUUCAUCCCGCUAAACUUCUGCUUCGCUGAAUCUAGGUAUCUGCUUAUCUUCCCCGCGUAACCGUAAGGAAGUUUUACUCCUACGAGGCAAGUGAAAAACUGAUCGAUCUCCUCCUAACUUAGAGUGAAGCACGCGGGAGGGAAGUCAUUUUCGGUCUUCUUGGACUUUUUGCCUUUGCGACGACUUUCCGUGUCCUGCUUCGCCUCAUCAUCAUCAUCAUCAUCAUCAUUAUUAGCGUGAAGCUCCUCCCUAAUGCCCAUUGAUUUCAAGUCUGCCCUUGCUUUCGGUCCAUCUUUGGUCCUCUCUGGCAUGUUGAGCAGGGUACCAAGCAGACUCUCGCACACGUUCUUCGUGAUAUGCAUGACAUCAAGGCUGUGAGGCACACGGAGGAUCUUCCAGUAAGGCAAGUCCCACAAAAUAGACCUCGUUUUCCAUACCUUCAGCAGCGGCUCUGGCACCUUUCGCUUCUUUCCCGGCUCUGGCGCCUUUCCCGGCGGUGGGCACUCUUUCCAAUUUUUCAACAGCUCGUAUAUUUCCUCGCCACUCCUCAUAAGGGGGCGUCUUCGGGGUUCGGUUUCACCAUCGAACGGAUCCUUGCGUUUUCUCCAUGAUUCAUCGUCGCGAAGCCACCUUCGAUGUCCCAUGAACACGGUUUUUGAAGACCCGGGAUCAAUAUCUAGCUGGCGAUACAUUGUGUCAUCCAUGCACCUGACGCAUCCAGAAAAUCCGUGGACCACCUGCCCCGCGACAUAUCCGUAACCGAGAUAGUCGUGCACCGUCGUGAGCAGUGCGGCUCUCAUAGGGAAAUAUUCUUUCUCUACGGCGUCCCACGUAUUGGCUGGCGUUUUCCACAGCGUGUCUAGCUCCUGUUUCAGCAGCCCCAGAUAUAGAUUGAUGUCGUUCCCUGGUUGUUUCGGCCCUUCAAUUAGCAUACUCAUGUGAAUGUACUUCCUCUUCAUGCACAACCAGGGGGGAAGGUUGUACAUCCACACAAACAUAGGCCAGGUGCUAUGUGUGCUUCUCUGGCUGCCAAACGGAUUGACUCCAUCGGUGCUCGCGCCCAGCACGAUGUUCCUUGGAUCGUCCCCAAAUUCUGGGUAUUCGUAGUUCAACGCUUGCCACUGGCUCGCAUCCUUAGGGUGACUCAGCAUCUUGUCUUUUUUAUUUAUCUCCGGAUCAUUUUCGUCAUCUUCUCGCUUUUUCUCCUCCCUAUCCACGUGCCAACGUAGGAGCUUUGCUACCUUAGGGUCCGCGAAAUACCAUUGCAGACGAGGAGUGAUCGGAAAGUACCACACCACUUUUCGAGGAGCUUUCUUCCUCUUCUUGUAUCGACUGACGCCGCACACCGGACAUAUGGUAGACUCCGCGUGCUCGUCCCGAUAAAUGAUGCAAUUGUUCAUGCACACAUGGUAUUUCACGUGCGGUAAAUCCAGAGGACACACGAUUUUCUUCGCCUCCUCGAAACUGGUCGGGCACUUGUUCCCCUUGGGAAGACGUUCGUGCCAGAAUGACAUGUUCUCGUCGAAGCAUGCGUCGGUCAUUUUGUGUUUUACCUUCAUCUCCAGAGCCAUGAGCGUUACUUUCAGGCAGGUAUCCUCGGGCCUGCAUCCUUCAUACAAUGGAGUAAGCGCGUCUAUCUCCAGUUGAUCCAGCUUGGCUUUCUCUCGGGCGGCAGCUCUUGCGUUAUCCGUGUGCUUGAGAAGCAGCUCUUGAAUAUGAGGGUCCUGCACCCAGGCCAUCGAUGGUCCAUCGUCGUCUGCUCCGGCAUCUUCAUCUUCAUGAUCAUGCCCUUCGUCUGCUCCGGCAUCUUCCUCAUCAUCAUGUCCGGCAUCUUCUACAUGAUGACUGUGUCCUGGAGAUUCUUCGUCUUCUCGCCCGCCCUCGCCGCGGUUGUCUUGCUCAUGCCCUUCCUCAUUUCUUUACCGACCCCCAUGGACGACUUCAUAAUCAUCUUCAUCACCUUGCCACCGAUAGCCAUCCAUGAAACCAUGCAAGAGCAGGUGGUCCUGCACCUUUACGGAAUCCGGGUCCAUAGGGCUCUUCAGCUUGCAUCUUCGACACGGACAUCUUAUCCUCGUCUCGUUCUUUUGAAGCAUCUCGGCCUUCGCGGAGCUCAAAAACCUAUUCACGAUGCCUUCGGUCAUCGUGCGGACCAUGGUCGCCUGCGGGGUAGAGCAAAACGAUAUUUUAGAACCAAAAUUUUUUUGGCAUGACUUUGCCUAAAAAUAGGACAAAAAAGAAUGCAUAGUGCCAAAUUCUCGCCGAAACGGAAAUGAAUCAACAUUCCGGGAAAAUAUUGGCAACUAUGACAUUUCAAAUACCAGUACCUGCAAAAAAAAACAUAUAUGCAACACCACAAACAUAUGCAACACCAAAAACAUACUUAGAUCUAGCUAGGCCAUAAAAAGUGCAUGUGCACGUUGUUGGAGGGAGAAAAAAAGUAGAUCUACAACAUAAAAGCUUUCCCCUUACUUACCUAUCAAAAAAGGUAAUUUAACCACUUAAUUUGGGUGAAUGUAUGAUGCAAAUGAGGUGAGGAGGAGGAGGCACCCGAGACAAGCUUGGAGGAGGAGGUGGAGAGAAUGAAAGUGGGGAAAGUGAGUGUGGUAGGUGGCUGUCCAAAAUAUCUAGCUGGUCCCAGGUUACUAAUGGCGCACCACCUACAUAUGCGCCAUUAGUAACCCUGGUUACUAAUGGCGCACCUCCUGUGGUGCGCCAUUAGUAGUUCUGCAAAAAAAAAGUAGUGGCGCACCACCAACAGAUGCGCCAUUAGUAACACUGGUUACUAAUGGCGCACUAGCUGUGGUGCGCCAUUAGUAGUUUGCAAAAAAAACAAUUUUUUUAUAGUAGUGGCGCACUACCAACAGAUGCGCCAUUAGUAACCCUAGUUACUAAUGGCGCACCAGCUGCUGGUGCGCCAUUAGUAGUUUUGCAAAAAAAAUAUAGUAGUGGCGCACCGAGUGUGUGGUGCGCCAUUAGUGUCCAUCACACUAAUGGCACACCUGCACAUGGUGCGCCACUACUAUAUAGUAGUGGCGCAUUGCUUGUGUGCUGCGCCAUUAGUAUCUAUAUCAUCUAUAGCCCUUUGCCUAGUAGUGGUGGAUUGGUCGUACCACCCGAAUACUCGUAUAUUUUUAUUGCUGAAUAUAAGCUCUUUCCACGGUGUCGCCUAGACGCCCCACUAUGUCCUGUUAUUUAUCUUAUAAGCCAUUUAUGUGGUGUCACCUCUACGCCCGACCGUGGCUUGUUGUUUAUCUCAUAAGCUCUCUUUGGGGUGUCGCCUCGACACCCGACUAAGGCUUGUUGAUUAUUUAUAAGCCCUUUAUGUGGUGAUGUCUAGAUGCCUGACUGCGGCAUGCAUGUUAAUUAUUUUAUAAGCCCUUUCUGUGGUGUCGCCCAGACACCCGACUGAGGCAUGCAAUGCUUUAUUUUAUUAUAAGCCUUUUUCGAGGUGUUGCCCCAAAGCCCGACUGUGGUAGUUUACUUUUCCUGUUAACCUUUCGAGACGUCGCUCUAGACACCUGAUCGGUGUAUUUUACUUUUUUUGGAUAUUUCGGGAGGACUACCACCCGACUUCUCCAUUUAUUAAUUUUAUUUCAUCUCAUAGUUAAAUUAUAACUCUUGUCUAGUGUGAAAUUUUAUUCAACUUGCGCAUGUGCAUCAUGUCUGCAUUCAUCAUAUCUCAUGUCGAGACUGUCUUGUGAGACAUGCAAAGUACUUACGUGGCUUGAUGAUUUGGCCAGAUUUUGACGAAGGUGAUCUCAUGGAUGAAGAGUUCGAUAGCGAGUCCGACGCCUAGAGGAAUCCUAGUCAGUCUUGCGAUCUUGGAGUCCACCAUUGUAUUAUCCGCCACCGCUUCCACCACCAAUAAUCAAUUUUCGAGCCUCACUUUGACAUCCGACAUGUUGUAGAAUAAUGAGUCGUGUCACCCACUCCAUCGUGACAUAUCCACCACCACCUAUAUUGCGAUUCAGUAGUACUACCAGCAUGUCCAUUGUUUAUAUCUGCCUCUAUGAUAAAUAUUUGCGUGCUUGUAAUAAAUUGUUGAGCGACCUUAACUCAACUCUUUCUAAUAUUAAGUGCUACUGGUUUUCUGUAUCAAGGAUUGUCUAUCAAUGUGAAUUAUUUUAUAUGUCGGAAUGACAUCAAGGGUUGAUAUCCAAUAAUUAUAUUAUUUUGAAACUGGUCCUGACAGAAAUUCAGUUGGAAUAUGAAAGCAGUCAUCAAAAGUGAGGUCCCCGGUUGCUAUGCCCACACUUUCCAUAGUACUAGUUACCUUCACAUUACCAGAGUUAAUCACUAGACGAUUAUAUCCAGUAGAUUGUGCGAGGGUCAAGUCAAAUCUAGGACGCCCCCUGAUGACCCACAAGUGUAGGGGAUCAAUUGUUGUCCUUUCGAUAAGUAAGAGUGUCGAACCCAACGAGGAGCAGAAGGCUCUGAUAAACGGAUUUCAGCAAGGUAAUAACUGCAAGCACUGAAAGUAGCGGUAACAAGUAAUUGUGUAGCGAGGUGAAACGUAGCGAGCAAAAAGUAACAAGUAACAAGUAGUAGCAAUGGUACGGCAAGUGGCCCAAUCCCUUUUGUAGCAAGGGACAAGCCUGAACAAAGUCUUAUAGGAGGAAACACGCUCCCGAGGAUACACGUGAAUUUCUGUCAUGCUAGUUUCAUCAUGUUCAUAUGAUUCGCGUUUGUUACUUUGAUAGUUUGAUAUGUGGGUGGACCGGGACUUGGGUACUGCCCUUACUUGGACAAGCAUCCCACUUAUGAUUAACUCUCUCACAAGCAUCCGCAACUACAAAAGAAGAAUUAAGACAAAGUCUAACCAUAACAUUAAACUAGUGGAUCCAAAUCAGCCCCUCACGAAGCAACGCAUAGACUGGGGUUUAAGCUUCUGUCACUCCAGCAACCCAUCAUCUACUUACUACUUCCCAAUGCUUUCCUCUAGGCCCAAAUAUGGUGAAGUGUUAUGUAGUCGACGUUCACAUAACACCACUAGAGGAAAAGACAACAUACAACAUAUCAAAAUACUGAACGAAUAUCAAAUUCACAUGACUAUUAUCAGCAUGACUUAUCCCAUGUCCUCAGGAACAAAAGUAACUACUCACAAAGCAUAAUCAUAAUCAUGAUCAGAGGUGUAAUGAAUAGCAUCAAGGAUCUGAACAUAAACUCUUCCACCAAGUAAUCCAACUAGCAUCAACUACAAAGAGUAAUCAACACUACUAGCAACCUUACAAGUACCGAUCGGAGUUGCGAGACGAAGAUUGGUUACAAGAGAUGAACUAGGGAUUGGAGAGGAGAUGGUGCUGAUGAAGAUGUUGAUGAAGAUGCCUGCCCUCCGACGAGAGGAGUGUUGGUGAUGACGAUGGCGACGAUUGCCCCCUCCGGGAGGGAAGUUUCCCGGGCAGGAUCGUCCUGCCGGAGCUCUAAAUUGGAUCUGCUCAAGUUCCGCCUCGUGGCGGCGGCGAAACCACGAAAAAGCGACCGUAUGAUUUUUUCUGGACCAAGACCCUUCAUAUAGCAAAAGAGGGGGGCUAGUGGGCCGUCAGGGAGCCCACAAGCCACCACUCCGCCACCAGGGGGGUGGUGGCGGUGGCAGGGCUUGUGGCGCCCUCGCAGCCCCCGUCCGGUACUUCUUUCACCCAGUAUUUUUUAUAUAAUCCCAAAAAAAUCCACGUAACUUUUCAGGGCAUUUGGAGAUGUGCAGAAUAGUGGACUAGGAUUUGCUCCUUUUCCAGUCCAGAAUUCCAGCUGCCUGAAUUCUCUCUCUUCAAAUAAACCUUGCAAAAUAAGAGAGAAAAGGCAUAAAUAUGGUACCACAAGUAAUAUAACAGCCCAAAAAGCAAUAAAUAUCAACAUGAAAGCAUGAUGCAAAAUGGACGUAUCAACUCCCCCAAGCUUAGACCUCGCUUGUCCUCAAGCGAAAACCAAGUUCCAUAAACAUGUCCACAUGUUGAGGGACGAAGGUGUCGAUAAAACAUAAUACGGAUAUGAGGGCAUCAUGAUCACACAUAGGACAAGAAUACAUCAUAAAGAUUCUUAUGGGAAAGUAACAAUUCCUUCACAAAGCAAAGCAUGAAGCAAAAACCUUACCGAGAAGUAACCAACAAUAAACCAUAGUCAUUGAAGCAAUUGCAAUUUAUCACAACAUAAAAAAAAGUCAAAUGAGAGCUUGUAAAGCAAAUCCACAUACUCAAUCAUCUCUUUUGUUUUCCACAAUUCUUACAACUCACGUGGUACUCAUGGUGUCAAAGUUUCAGCUGGACAUAGAGAAAGAUAGGGGCUUAUAGUUUGCCUCCCAACUAUUUACCUCAAGGGUAAAGUCAACAAUAAUAAAGCAUAAGUACUCAACUCCAAGUUGAUAUAUGAAUAUAGAUCUUUCCCAAGCAUGUGACGGUAGUCAAGACAAAGGCAAAAAUAGGGAAUUGGUGAAGAUCACCAUGACUCUUACAAGGGAAAAAAGUAAAGGUACAAGAUAAGCCCUUCGCACAGGGAAGCAGAGGUUGUCAUGCACUUUUGAGGUUUGAAUGCGUGUCCUCUUAGUGCGGAGGAACGUCACUUUAUAUUGCCUCCUGUGAUAAAGAGCUUUAUUAUACAGUCUGUCGCUUUUAUGUCUUCCUUAUCACAGGUUCGUACAAAGCUUAUUUUCCACACACUAAUAGAUCAUACAUAUUAGAGAGCAAUUUUUAUUGCUUGCACCAAUGACAACUUACUUGAAGGAUCUUAUUCAAUCCAUAGGUAGGUAUGGUGGACUCUGAUGGCAAAACUGGGUUGGAGGUUUAUGGAUGCACAAGCAGUAUCUCUACUUGGGGCGGGAGUUUUGGCUAAUAUGAGGUGGAAGCAAUCGUCACAUGCUAAGGGAUCUCUAAUCAUAUAACAUUGUUUGGAACCAAGAAAAGACAAUUCAUUACGUUGUCUUCCUUGUCCAACAUCAACUCCUAAGCAUGUAAUAGUUUGGUGAGUGCUC